CCGACGGUUUAUACCUGUCGAUGUGGAAAAUCCUACACUAUCAAGAAAAACCUGAAGAGACGCACCAAAGAAUGUGGUACAAAAAUACUAAAUGUGUUUUGCCCUGAAUGUAACUACCGAACCACUAGAAAAGAUACACUACGAAGACAUGUGUUAGCGCGACACACUCAUCUUGGUUGUAAACUACUGGAGGACUUAUAAUUAUAUACCAAUCGGGUGCUGUAUAGUUGUGUAUGUGGAAAGGCCUACACUAGUAAACGAAACUUAAAAAGACACACGAGUGAAUGUGGUACUAAAGAAAAGAAUAUACUAUGCCCCGAAUGCAACUACAGAACAACCAGAAAAGAUACUUUACGAAGACAUAUAUCUACACGGCAUAAUUAUGUUUGUUUAUAAGUUAUAUAUUAUUUGGACACAUUCAAAGUAAUAUACUUAUUUUUAAUGCUUUAAUUUAAUAAAUCAAUUUAAUGCUUUAA
rnacentral:lncRNA from 1 species